rnacentral:rRNA from 1 species
UUCGCCCUUAGAGUUUGAUUCUGGCUCAGGACGAACGCUGGCGGCGUGCCUAACACAUGCAAGUCGAACGGAGAAACAACUGUAGCAAUAUGGAUGUUUCUUAGUGGCGGACGGGUGAGUAACGCGUGAGCAACCUGCCUUUCAGAGGGGGACAACAGCUGGAAACGGCUGCUAAUACCGCAUAUUGUACAACAUGGGCAUCCAUGAAGUAUGAAAGAUUUAUCGCUGAAAGAUGGGCUCGCGUCUGAUUAGCUAGUUGGUGGGGUAACGGCCCACCAAGGCGACGAUCAGUAGCCGGACUGAGAGGUUGAUCGGCCACAUUGGGACUGAGAUACGGCCCAGACUCCUACGGGAGGCAGCAGUGGGGAAUAUUGGGCAAUGGGCGAAAGCCUUACCCAGCAAUGCCGCGCGUAUGAAGAAGGUCUUCGGAUUGUAAAGUACUAUAUUGGGGAAGAACACAAUGACGGUACCCAAGAGAAAAAGCCCCGGCUAACUAUGUGCCAGCAGCCGCGGUAAUACAUAGGGGGCUAGCUUUGUUCGGAAUUACUGGGCGUAAAGGGUGCGUAGGUGGCAAUGUAUGUUGGAAGUGUAAUCCCUCGGGCUUAACUCAGGGGCUGCUUCCAAAACUGCAUUACUUGAGUGUCGGAGAGGAAAACGGAAUUCCUAGUGUAGCGGUGAAAUGCUCAGAUAUUAGGAGGAACACCAGAGGCGAAGGCGGUUUUCUGGACGACAACUGACGCUGAGGCACGAAAGCGUGGGGAGCGAUUGAGAUUAGAUACCCCAGUAGUCCACGCCGUAAAUGAUGGGUAAAAGAUGUUGGGAGUAUCAACUCUUCCAGUGUCGUAGCAAACGCGAUAAGUACCCCGCCUGGGGAGUACGGCCGCAAGGUUGAAACUCAAAGGAAUAGACGGGGACCCGCACAAGCAGCGGAGCAUGUGGUUUAAUUCGAGGCAACGCGAAAAACCUUACCAAGACUUGACAUCGCAUGAUCGCCAUAGAAAUAUGGUUUCUCUUCUGAGCAUGCAGACAGAUGGUGCAUGGUUGUCGUCAGCUCGUGUCGUGAGAUGUUGGGUUAAGUCCCAAAACGAGCGCAACCCCCGUUGUUAGUUGCCAAUAUUAAGUUAGGAACUCUAGCGAGACUGCCGCGGUAACGUGGAGGAAGGAAGGGACGACGUCAAAUCAUCAUGCCUCUUACGUCUUGGGCUACACACGUGCUACAAUGGCCAUAACAAAGAGCAGCAAUAUAGCGAUAUUGAGCAAAUCUCAUAAAAAUGGUCUCAGUUCGGAUUGUAGGCUGCAACUCGCCUACAUGAAGUCGGAGUUGCUAGUAAUCCCGAAUCAGAACGUCGGGGUGAAAAAGGUCCCGGGUCUUGUAC